rfam:Nematostella vectensis strain CH2 x CH6 NEMVEscaffold_285_Cont22399, whole genome shotgun sequence.
CCUUCGAUAGCUUAGUUGGUAAAGCGGGGGACUGUAGAUUAAUAACUGUGAUCCCUAAAUCGUUGUUUCGAAUCCUGCUCGAAGAA